rnacentral:rRNA from 1 species
CCUACGGGAGGCAGCAGUGAGGAAUAUUGGUCACUGGGCGGGAGCCUGAACCAGCCAAGUCGCGUGAGGGAAGACGGUCCUAUGGAUUGUAAACCUCUUUAGGCGGGGAGCAAUGCCGGGCACGCGUGCCCGGAGGGAGAGUACCCGCAGCAUAAGCAUCGGCUAACGCCGUGCCAGCAGCAGCGGUAAAACGGAGGAUGCGAGCGUUAUCCGGAUUUCUUGGGUUAAAGGGGUGCGUAGGCGGAUUUUUAAGUCAGCGGUAAAAUGUCGGGGCUCAACCCGGGCCGGCCGUUGAAACUGGGGAUCUUGAGGGGUCGAGAAGUAUGCGGAAUGCGGGGUGUAGCGGGUAAAUGCAUAGAUAUCACGCAGAACUCCGAUUGCGAAGGCAGCAUACCGGCGCCCGACUGACGCUGAGGCACGAAAGCGUGGGGAUCGAACAGGAUUAGAUACCCGGGUAGUC